rnacentral:rRNA from 1 species
AGUGAACGCUGGCGGUAGGCCUAACACAUGCAAGUCGAACGGCAGCACAGUAAUAGCUUGCUCUUACGGGUGGCGAGUGGCGGACGGGUGAGGAAUACAUCGGAAUCUACUUUUUCGUGGGGGAUAACGUAGGGAAACUUACGCUAAUACCGCAUACGACCUACGGGUGAAAGCAGGGGAUCUUCGGACCUUGCACGAUUGAAUGAGCCGAUGUCGGAUUAGCUAGUUGGCGGGGUAAAGGCCCACCAAGGCGACGAUCCGUAGCUGGUCUGAGAGGAUGAACAGCGCCACUGGAACUGAGCGACGGUCCAGACUCCUACGGGAGGCAGCGGUGGGGAAUAUUGGACAAUGGGCGCAAGCCUGAUCCAGCCAUGCCGCGUGGGUGAAGAAGGCCUUCGGGUGGUAAAGCCCUUUUGUUGGGAAAGAAAAGCAGCAGGUUAAUCCCCCGCUGUUCUGACGGUACCCAAAGAAUAAGCACCGGCUAACUUCGUG